rnacentral:misc_RNA from 1 species
CGUCACGUCACAUUCCUCUAUCUUUAGAGAUUUUGAUGUCCGUAGACGGAACCAGGCAGCCUGCAGCCAAGUAGCGAACCAGCCAACCACCCACCGUGUGCGCAUUACGCACCGGGCUCCCCUAUGCUUAAAAUGCGCAGCGCAAUGCAGCUCAGUGAUGAGUGAUGACGAGCCAGAGCCUCACUUGCAAAUCAGUUUCCGUUUGUUGUUACUUUGACUUUUUCACAGUUGAGAAAUUGAAGACAAUCAUCUCAUGAAUUUUCACUAAAUGGGUUGCGUCUACUCUCGAGGCUGCAUCGGCGAGGUGUGUGUACCCAGAGACCCCAGAGUCAAGCAGCAGCAGCAGCAACAACA